CCCGAGUCCAAACCUGAAACAGGUUCUCCCUUCUGCUCUAAAGCCAAACUCAUAUACUUUCAUACUAAAAAAUAGCUACACGGCCGACGUUUAACGCAGCCGCCUCAAACCAGCCUUGACGCCGAUAUCUGCUCAAUUUUCUACAGGUUCCUGAAGGAAGGAUAUCAAAGUUGUUUUAAUCAACAAUGGGGAGGCUGAAGCUCUUUGAUGAUGAACAAAAUGAUGAUGAUGUCUCGAAGAUUGAAAUUAAUAAGGAAUAUGCAAGACGAUUUGAGCACAAUAAGAAGCGAGAAGAGCUGCAAAGGUAUGAGGAGUUGAAGAAGAAAGGUGCGAUUGAAGAAUCAGAUGAAGAUUCCGAUGAUGAGUUGACAGAUUCAGAGGAAGGUAAAGAUGAUUUAUUGGGGUCUAGCAAACAAGACAUGGAGUUUUUUGAUGUGCUGUUGAAAGUGAAGAAUAAGGAUCCAAUUAUUAAGGAAAAAGAUGUUAAGCUUUUUGAGUCUGAAUCAGAGGGGAGUGAAGAGGAAGAAGAAGAAGGAAGUGAAAAUGAUGAAGGGAAGAAGAAGAAUACUAAGAAAGCAAUGUAUUUGAAAGAUGUGAUGGCAAAACAUUUAAUUGAAGAGGGGCCUGAGUUUGAGGAUGAGGAAGAAGAAGAGUCUAGUGAGAAAAAGAAAGAGAAGAGUUACAGUGAAGAGCAAGAGGAGAUUCGGAAAGAGUUUUUAAAUGCGGUGAAAGAGGCUGAAGGAAAUGAGGAGGAAGAUGAUGACGCUUUUUUGAAAGAGAAAAAGAAGGAAAAUGAUGAUGAAGGAGAUCUGGAGGGUGAUGAUAAUGAUCAGUUUGUUAAGAAAUUGGAUGAGUAUUUUGGUGGGGAUGGUGAAUUGGAUGAGAACAAGAUGUUUCUGAAGGAGUUUUUUAGAAAUAAGAUGUGGAUUGAUAAGGAAAGUAAGGAUAAAGAAUUCGAUGUUGAUGAAGAGGAGGUGGAAGAUCUGUUGAGAGAAGAGGAGGAGCUUGAAAGACAAGAGCAGUAUGAGACAAAUUUUAGGCACGAGGAAGGGGUGGAUGAUAGAGUGAUGGGUCACUCAAGGAAAAUUGAGGGGUCAGUAAGGAAGAAGGAUAAUGCAAGGAAAGAGCAGAGGAAGAGUAAAGAGGUGAGGAUGAAAAUUGCGGAGAUGGAGAGAAAGGAAGAGUUGAAACAUUUGAAGAAUUUGAAGAAGAAGGAGAUGAAAGAAAGAAUGAAAAAGGUGAUGGCAAUUGCAGGGUUUAAGGAGGAGGAAGAUUUGUCUUUAAAUUUGAAGGAUUUGGAUGAUGAUUUUGAUCCUGAAGAGUACGAUAGGAUGAUGAAGGCAGUGUUUGAUGAUAAAUAUUAUGGUGCUGAAGAUGUGGACCCUGAGUUUGGCAAGGGAGAGGAAGAAGACGAAGGUGAUAUUGAGAAACCAGAUUUUGAUAAAGAGGAUGAGCUGCUAGGACUUCCUAAAGGUUGGGAUGUGAUUAAAUCAGGUGAUGGAUUUAAGGCUGCUAGGGAAAGGAGUUUAAAGCAUGAAUUAGAAAAUGGUGGUGGUGCUGGUGGUGGUGGUGGUGAUGAUGAUGAUGAUUAUGAUGAUUAUGAUGGUGAUGAAGGAGAAAGAGAGGGCAGGGAGGAAGAAGAAGAGGUUCCUGAGGAGAGCAAGAGGAAGAGGAAACGUAAGAUGUCACUUGUGAAGAGAGCUAGAGAAGAAAUGCUGGAGGAGUUCUACAAGCUGGACUAUGAGGAUACUAUUGGAGACAUAAAAACGAGGUUCAAGUAUGCAAAGGUAAAACCUAAUAGGUAUGGGUUGAAGACUGAAGAGAUAUUAUCAUUGGAUGACAAGGAGUUGAAUCAGUAUGUUUCUGUGAAGAAGAUUGCUCCUUACAGGGAGAAAGAAUGGAAGGUACCUGAUAGUAAGAGGUAUCAGGAAAAAAUGAAGAUUAAGGAGCUUCUCCAAGGUCAUAAGUCCGGUGACAGGAAGAAUGGGAAGAGGAAGAGAUCAAAGGAUGAUGGUGAAAAACCAAAAUCAGAGAUUGGUGCCAAGGGAGAUGGAAAGGUACCACUGGAAGAACCAAAUGGUGAUACAGACAAUUUGUCCAAGCGUGCCAAGACAAGGCGUCGUCAAGCGAAAACUAAACUGUCUCACUCAAGGCUUGUUGCAUAUGGCAAGAUCCCUUCUAAAGGAAAGAGUAAACACUGAACACCAGGAAUAAUUUAGUUCAAGGCAGUUGAUAAGAGCAUCUUUCGGAUGAUUGAUACCGCCACACCAAAGCUUUCCCCAAUUUAAAGUUAUUUGCCAUCCCCAAUAUUAAUUGAAUACAGAGGACAUCAAAUGUGCAAAUAGAUUAGAGGCUGAAGAAUGUUUCAGGUAAUUUUGGAAGAGUUUUGAGUCAUAACAAAUUUUGACGCUUCUCUUUGUAUUAUUUGUUAAAUUAUCUCUCUUGUUACUUAGGAUUGCCUCCUUCCAAAUUUAGCUAUAAAUGAACAUUUUGAUUGUUGGUUAGAUUAAAUCAGCAUUUCAUGGUGCUUAUCAGCUUCAUCAUUGUUGUUGCCGUUGCUAUUUAAGCUUGGUUUAAACUAUAUAUUUAUUGAAAAAAAAUUUCGUAAUUGAAAUACCAUGUCUUGUUUGACAUUAUGUAUGAAUAUAUUAGUGGAAUUCGA